UGGUGAUUAUAGCAAAGGGGAAACACCUGUUCUCAUUCCGAACACAGAAGUAAAGACCUUUAACGCCGAAGAUACUUGUCGGGAAACUGACCGGGAAAAUAGGAAGUUGCCAG
rnacentral:rRNA from 1 species